AUGAACGCUGGCGGCGUGCCUAAUACAUGCAAGUCGAGCGAACAGACGAGGAGCUUGCUCCUCUUACGUUAGCGGCGGACGGGUUAGUAACACGUGGAUAACCUACCUAUAAGACUGGGAUAACUUCGGGAAACCGGAGCUAAUACCGGAUAAUAUAUUGAACCGCAUGGUUCCAUAGUGAAAGACGGUUUUGCUGUCACUUAUAUAUGGAUCCGCGCCGCAUUAGCUAGUUGGUAAGGUAACGGCUUACCAAGGCAACGAUGCGUAGCCGACCUGAGAGGGUGAUCGGCCACACUGGAACUGAGACACGGUCCAGACUCCUACGGGAGGCAGCAGUAGGGAAUAUUCCGCAAUGGGCGAAAGCCUGACGGAGCAACGCCGCGUGAGUGAUGAAGGUCUUCGGAUCGUAAAACUCUGUUAUUAGGGAAGAACAAAUGUGUAAGUAACUAUGCACGUCUUGACGGUACCUAAUCAGAAAGCCACGGCUAACUACGUG
rnacentral:rRNA from 1 species